GGGUGCAGGAGGACUGCUGACAGACUUCGAGUCUGAGGAAAGUCCCCUCUCCACAGUGCAGGUGGUCGACACAAGUCGAGGUUCAGAGAUGAGUCGGUCAAUGGUGCAGAAACGAACGAUAUGUGGUGUGUACAAUGAAUCUGAAAAGACGAGGUUGCCACAAUGUCGAUGAGACGAGCAACCACACUGGAGCAAGUCCAAACAGUCCCUUUGAGGCGGCACGUCUAGGGACAGGUAGGAUGCUUAGUUGAAUGCAGUCACCGGUAACGGGAACAGAAAGGGGCUUACUCCCUGCACCC
rnacentral:RNase_P_RNA from 10 species